AAGGAUCUAGUAAGAUUCUGUACGUGUCGAUGUCCCUACAGAAAGGAAACUUCCACAGAAUGACCCCGAAGCCUCGGCAACGUCCUGGGUGUUCGGGAUUCCCGAGCACCAUAGUGAGCUCAUUGUUUUCCCUAUCAACCUUCAACUUUCCCGCUUUAGCAUCUUCAAUGUUUUGGAUAAGACUUUUGGCCUUCUGACAUAUUGUUUCAUUGAACAUAAGUGUCCC
rnacentral:lncRNA from 1 species